GACGAGGGAGAAGGGUCUCAUCGUCACGGAUUUCAUUUCACUGUUAUUGUUGAGGACUUCCUGAGAAAUACUCGGUUGGUGUAAGAAUUCAAAAAUCUGGUUGUUAAUCAGGUUUUGAGGCCUUGUAUGCCUACUUGGUUUCGGCCUUCUAGGUGUACGGCCGUUU